UACGAAGGGGGCGAGCGUUGUUCGGAAUUACUGGGCGUAAAGGGCGCGCAGGCGGCCUUAGAAGUCAGAUGUGAAAGCCCCGGGCUCAACCUGGGAAUGGCAUUUGAUACUCUGAGGCUGGAGUACGGGAGAGGAGAGUGGAAUUCCCAGUGUAGAGGUGAAAUUCGUAGAUAUUCGCAAGAACACCAGUGGCGAAGGCGGCUCACUGGCCCGAUACUGACGCUGAGGCACGAAAGCGUGGGGAGCAAACAGG
rnacentral:rRNA from 1 species